UACGAAGGGGGCUAGCGUUGCUCGGAAUCACUGGGCGUAAAGGGUGCGUAGGCGGGUCUUUAAGUCAGGGGUGAAAUCCUGGAGCUCAACUCCAGAACUGCCUUUGAUACUGAAGAUCUUGAGUUCGGGAGAGGUGAGUGGAACUGCGAGUGUAGCGGUGGAAUGCGUAGAGAUCCGGAAGAACACCGGUGGCGAAGGCGGUCUGCUGGGCCGAUACUGACGCUGAGGAGCGAAAGCGUGGGGAGCGAACAGG
rnacentral:rRNA from 1 species